rnacentral:pre_miRNA from 1 species
UCUUAUGGAUGAACAAAGAGAGUUGUUUCUUGAGAUGGAAACAACUUCUGGUAAGCAUACUAUGAA